rnacentral:rRNA from 1 species
UUAAGUUAUUAAGGGCGCACGGUGGAUGCCUUGGCACUAGAAGCCGAUGAAGGACGUUACUAACGACGAUAUGCUUUGGGGAGCUGUAAGUAAGCUUUGAUCCAGAGAUUUCCGAAUGGGGAAACCCAGCAUGAGUUAUGUCAUGUUAUCGAUAUGUGAAUACAUAGCAUAUCAGAAGGCACACCCGGAGAACUGAAACAUCUUAGUACCCGGAGGAAGAGAAAGAAAAUUCGAUUCCCUUAGUAGCGGCGAGCGAAACGGGAAGAGCCCAAACCAACAAGCUUGCUUGUUGGGGUUGUAGGACACUCUAUACGGAGUUACAAAGGACGACAUUAGACGAAUCAUCUGGAAAGAUGAAUCAAAGAAGGUAAUAAUCCUGUAGUCGAAAAUGUUGUCUCUCUUGAGUGGAUCCUGAGUACGACGGAGCACGUGAAAUUCCGUCGGAAUCUGGGAGGACCAUCUCCUAAGGCUAAAUACUCUCUAGUGACCGAUAGUGAACCAGUACCGUGAGGGAAAGGUGAAAAGCACCCCGGAAGGGGAGUGAAAUAGAACCUGAAACCGUGUGCUUACAAGUAGUCAGAGCCCGUUAAUGGGUGAUGGCGUGCCUUUUGUAGAAUGAACCGGCGAGUUACGAUUUGAUGCAAGGUUAAGCAGUAAAUGUGGAGCCGUAGCGAAAGCGAGUCUGAAUAGGGCGUUUAGUAUUUGGUCGUAGACCCGAAACCAGGUGAUCUACCCUUGGUCAGGUUGAAGUUCAGGUAACACUGAAUGGAGGACCGAACCGACUUACGUUGAAAAGUGAGCGGAUGAACUGAGGGUAGCGGAGAAAUUCCAAUCGAACCUGGAGAUAGCUGGUUCUCUCCGAAAUAGCUUUAGGGCUAGCCUCAAGUGAUGAUUAUUGGAGGUAGAGCACUGUUUGGACGAGGGGCCCCUCUCGGGUUACCGAAUUCAGACAAACUCCGAAUGCCAAUUAAUUUAACUUGGGAGUCAGAACAUGGGUGAUAAGGUCCGUGUUCGAAAGGGAAACAGCCCAGACCACCAGCUAAGGUCCCAAAAUAUAUGUUAAGUGGAAAAGGAUGUGGCGUUGCCCAGACAACUAGGAUGUUGGCUUAGAAGCAGCCAUCAUUUAAAGAGUGCGUAAUAGCUCACUAGUCGAGUGACACUGCGCCGAAAAUGUACCGGGGCUAAACAUAUUACCGAAGCUGUGGAUUGUCCUUUGGACAAUGGUAGGAGAGCGUUCUAAGGGCGUUGAAGCAUGAUCGUAAGGACAUGUGGAGCGCUUAGAAGUGAGAAUGCCGGUGUGAGUAGCGAAAGACGGGUGAGAAUCCCGUCCACCGAUUGACUAAGGUUUCCAGAGGAAGGCUCGUCCGCUCUGGGUUAGUCGGGUCCUAAGCUGAGGCCGACAGGCGUAGGCGAUGGAUAACAGGUUGAUAUUCCUGUACCACCUAUAAUCGUUUUAAUCGAUGGGGGGACGCAGUAGGAUAGGCGAAGCGUGCGAUUGGAUUGCACGUCUAAGCAGUAAGGCUGAGUAUUAGGCAAAUCCGGUACUCGUUAAGGCUG